GAUGAACGCUAGCGGCAGCAUACAUGCAAGACGAACGGUAAGUUGAGUAGCAAUACUUAGCCAAGAGUGUCGUACGGUUGCGUACACGUAUGCAACCUACCCUAUACAGGAGGAUAGCCUAGGGAACCUGGAUUAACCCUUCAUAGUAUUAUUGGAUGGCAUCAUUUGAUAAUUAAAACUGAGGUGGUAUAGGAUGGGCAUGCGUCUGAUUAGUUAGUUGGCGGGGUAAUGGCCCACCAAGACGAUGAUCAGUAGGGUUCUGAGAGGAAGAUCCCCCACACUGGCACUGAGAUACGGGCCAGACUCCUACGGGAGCAGCAGUAGGGAAUAUUGGUCAAUGGAUGCAAGUCUGAACCAGCCAUGCCGCGUGCAGGAAGAA
rnacentral:rRNA from 1 species